AAGAAACCACCGUUGGCGCUUAAACAUGACCUCACCACUCUUAUAAAUACCGCCCUCUUUCUUCGUCACAUCCUCUUUCCGUUGCUCUUCUCGCUUUGAGAAAUCUCUCCACACGAUGAGAGCCAAGUGGAGGAAGAAGCGUAUGCGCAGGCUGAAGCGUAAAAGGAGAAAGAUGAGGCAGAGGUCCAAGUAAGUCCUCAUCUCCGCCAGCUGCGAUUCCCGUCGGAGCCUCUCCUGAUGACUGACGCGUGUGGCUGAAGUGGAUUGUGGAGCCUUCAUCGGUCGGAUAAAGGCCUCAAACCUGGGUCCAGAUGACUGCACAUCUCAUGGAACCAAUUGUGAACGUCUGACUGGAAGAUGGCAAAGAUGCUGGACUGAGCUUUCAACAUCAGAGCGGCAGCUGUUUUGUUCAUGGACCAUAAAUACAUGUGAUUACCAACAACUGUCAUUUGGUGUAUUGAACAAUAAAUGAACUCUGUUCAAAUUUA